rnacentral:tmRNA from 1 species
CUUUAAACCGUCGUCCAAUCCGCCUAUAUUGCAGAUGUCAGCUGACGGGCUGGCUAUGGCGAUAAAUGGACGUUGGAAUAAGCCCAUCGGACCCGGGGGCAGUACCCGGCACCUCCACCAAAUGCCACCGGCCGCAACCGGAUCUGAGGCAUCUGAUGGGGGUGAAACAGGAUCGACGAGGGUGUAAAGAACGGUCCUUCGCCCGGUGGGACUCGCCGUUAUCGGGUCACAACAAUAGUUGCCAACGACAACUAUGCUCCGGUGGCCCAGGCUGCGUAACGCAGCUUAGGUACCGAAAUUCAAGCCCCAGGCUGUAGCAGGUCUGGGCGGGGUUCGGCGGGCACCUGGCAACAGAAGCCCCC